AAGAACACCAAGAACACAUCAUCACCAAAAUCAACAGAUCUAAACCGGAUCUGCUCAGAAUCAACUCCAAUCACCACAAAAUCAACAAAUCCGAACCGGAUUCACUCAAAACCACCGCGAAUCAUCACAUCAACACCAAAACUUACCGGAUUUUUGAGCAAAAACAACCACAAACGGAGAAAACGCGCGCGCACGGAGAGGGGAAAAAGGGAGAUUCGAAGUUUUCCGAAGAUUUUUCUCCGUUCUACGACAGAGGUAACGCAUUUCUCUCCUCUUUUCCUUCAUUUUCGCGCGCGCCUAUAGUGUAGAAAAAGUGUGAAAAAGUUUGUUACGGAUAAAGAUUUGUAGAUCUAGGCUUUUGUGUUCGGAUUUUGGAAAUUUUGAGGCCGGAUUUUGACUUUAUAGAGAAAAGGAUAUCUAGAUCCGUAGUUUUUUUUGCGAUAAGUGUGAAAAAAAUUUCAAAGUAAAAACGUAGAUCUAGCCCAAAUCUCUCAGCUCUUUCUAAAACUAGUGCCGGAUUUGUGUAGAGGAGGAGGAGACGAAGCUUUUGGUAUAAAAAUUUUGAAAAAAAAAAAAGAAAAAGCUCCGACGCGGUGGCGCCGCCGCCGGAAACUGGCCGGCCGCCGCGCCGGAGCAGCUCCGGCCACCUCCUCCACCUUCUUCUCCGGCGAGCUGUUUUAGAGAGAGGGGAGAGCUUCUCUCUCUAAGUGUGACUUAGAGAGAGAAGGAGAAGAGGUUUAUGUGUUUUUUGUGUGAAAAUUCCUUUAUAUACUCCCUCCGUUCCCACGUGCGUGCGUACAUGCUUCUGUGGUGUUCCCUCGCUCUGUGAACCAUCAGAUCUGGAUUGUUCCAAGAUCUGAUGGCUGCUGUGUGUUUGAUUUUGAAUCCUGUGUGUGAUUUUUUGUGUGGAAUAUGGUAUAUCUUCUGUUUGAACCGUUAGAUCUUUGAUCUAACGGUCACUGUGCUUCGUGCAUUUUACACUAUCUUUUGUGCUCUUUUUUGGACCCUUGGAUCUUUGAUCCAGUGGCUGUGAUGUGAUCUUGGGAGUUAGAUCUGGACCUCUGGAUUCAUCCAGCGGACCAGAUUAAAUUCUGCUGAGCCUUUUUUUAAUUGCUUUUUAAUUGUGUUUUAAAUACUUUUUUUACACUUUCUUGGCAUUUUAUGCUCCUAAAAAAUUUUCUAAAAAUGUUUCCCUAUCAUUUUAAUUUUUUCUUUAAAUGUUAGAAUUUACUUGCUUAUUUUUUUUAUUUUCUUCAUUUGUUCUUUUUAAUUCUUGCUCAUUAAAUUCCUAUAUGUUCUUGGUGCAUUUUUUGACAUUUUGUGAUAUUUUUAUUUUUUUUGCAUGUUAAAUAAUGUGUAGAAAAUAUCCCUAGGAAUAUGGUAUGAUGCUUUGUUUGUGUGUUUUUAUGAUCCUCACAUUGUAGCUUAAAAUCAAAUCUCUUUUAAAAAUGGCUAUGAUGAGAUAAUUAUAAGCCAUAUGCAUGUCUAAGUGUUAUACCUAAUUCUAGGUAUAUUUUGCCACUUUAUUUCAUUUCAUUACCUUUUUUUCUCUUGCUAUUCUAUUCAAUUUUGUUUACCUUUCUACUAUUUUUAUGCCUUAUGAUACUAACCAUUUCAUCUAACAUUUCAUUCAUCCCAUAGUUUUAGCAUCAUUUUUUUGUUUUUAUUCAUUUCUAUAUCAAUUGGGUUUGUAAUAAUUUUAGAUAGAUUAGUUCCUUUUUAAAUUCUUUGCAAGACCAUAGCAUGUAUUUAGGACUCAAUGUAAAGGACUAUGGACACUAUAAGUGAUGUACACCGACACAAGCACCGACAUGCACACACGUUGCAUGUUUACCGUUUAGAUGUAUGUUUAGGAAAUGCGAUUUUUAGACAAAUGUCAAUUUUCAAAAAAAUAAUAAACCAAUUCCAUCAUUCAAAUUUUUCCAAACAAAUCUUGGAGUCAAAACUCCAUUGAAUUUCUUCUUUAUUUUCUUAAACAAAUCCAAAUGAAUCCUAAUUUCUACUUAGACUUUUUUAAUAACAAUCGAACCAACCAUUCACCAUUUUUCUCUCUUAUGCCUUUAAGGCCUCUUCCUCUUCUUCAAAACCUUUUUCCAACAAAAACUAAAAUCAACCAAACACACAAAAAACAUUUUUUGAGAGAGAACUACAUGGAGUUUGAUCCCUUAAAUGGGUAUGUAGGCAUGAGGUCAAAACCUCUCCAAGUCCACUAAAAUAAAACCUCAAACACUUUCUCCCCCCAUUCUUCACUCAAAUAAAACUUCUUUUUUAAUAAGUAGGCAAUAAAAAUAAAGCGUAGAAAUAAACUUAAGAAAACGGCUCCUAUAGAGUACUAUAGUCACCGCGGGUGCCUAACACCUUCCCGUAGUGAAAACGACCCCCGAACUUCGAAUCUAAGGGUUUUUUCUCAAUUUUGCCCUUCCCAAGAAAAAAUAGAGAAUAUCAAAGAUUGAAAGGUUCAAGCCUAAUUUAUGACUUGACACCCGAAAAUCGCGAUAACAGAAAUGGCGACUUCACUGGGGACACUUUUAGCGGGUCACGCCUAGUUUUCUUUAGUUUAUAUUUACGCUUUGUUUUAUUGCUUACAUAUGUGAAUACUUGUUUAUUUUCAUUUGACGUGUGGGGUGAGAAUAUCAAAAGUCCUAUACCCGGGCUGAGUGAACUUAUGAAUAGGUAGAGAUAUAAUCGACAAUUCGAUCCGAGGGUUGCCUCGUGUAUUGGGUUAUGCGAUCAAUCUCACAUAGCUGAGGCAUUUUGGAAGUAAUAUUGUCGGCGUGUGUUGUCAUGCUUAGGCACUUUGCUUUCAAUUGUUCGACGAUGCUAUGGACCGUAGUUACCAAACCCAUCCCUGGCCUUUUUAGGACGUAGUGCGGUGGCUAAACCGAGUGUUGUCUCGAGUUUUAGUCGUCACGCGAUACUACACUCAAACUAGACCUUCUUGCGAAUAAACAUGGAACGGACGUUGUCCCGUGCUACCAUGAUAUACGUAAGAGAGGUUGCAGUUUGGGAACUUGAUUAGAACCUUGGUUACUAUUAUCCUAAGCCUUAGUUUACCGGGCACCGUGUCCGCCCUUGGCUCCUCGACUUUAAUCUCAACCCUCCAUGUUUUCUCUGUAAUUGAAAAAACAAUCAUGCAUACAUGCAUUCAUGCAUAAAUUUUUUCUCAUGCAUUCAUCGAAGGAUCGGACAAAUUAAAAACUUUGUAAACAUUACAGGUAUGAAGAAGACUAAAUCCUACAAGUUCAAGGAGGUUGAUUUGGUUAGUUUGAGAGAGUUGGCACUCAAGGUGAAGAAUCAAACAGGUUUCCGACUCCGGUAUGGUGGUUGGCUUACUAUUCUCCGGACUAAUGUUGAAGAGAAGCUCGUGCACACUCUAGUGCAAUUCUAUGACCCGAGUUUCCGCUGCUUCACUUUCCCGGAUUUCCAGUUGGUCCUUACUCUUGAGGCUUAUUCCCACUUAUUGGAUUCACCUAUAGCCGAGAAGACGCCUUUCACCGGUCCCGGGGCUUCUCUUACUCCUCUGGUUAUUGCUAAGGAUCUCUAUCUCAAGACUUCCGAUGUCUCCAAACAUCUUACUACUAAGUCUCACAUCCGAGGGUUCACUUCCAAGUAUCUACUUGAGCAAGCUAAUCUCAAAACUACUUGUCAGGACGCACUCGAGGCUAUUCUUGCAUUGCUUAUCUAUGGGCUCAUUCUCUUCCCGAAUCUCGACAACUUUGUGGACAUGAAUGCUAUUGAGAUCUUCCAUUCUAGGAAUCCGGUUCCUACCCUGCUAGCUGACAUGUAUCAUGCUAUCCAUGACCGGACUCUCAAAGGUCGUGGGUAUAUCCUUUGCUGCGUGCCUCUCCUAUAUAGGUGGUUUAUUUCUCACCUUCCGAGCUCCUUCCAUGACAACUCGGAGGAUUGGUCCUACUCACAGCGGAUGAUGGCUCUCUCUCCUAACGAGGUGGUCUGGAUCACUCCCGCCGCUCAGGUUAAGGAGAUUAUUACUGGUUGUGGAGACUUUCUCAAUGUACCUCUUCUUGGUACCCGUGGGGGAAUCAACUACAAUUCCGGAGCUUGCUAUGAGGCAGUUUGGGUUCCCCAUGAAGACAAAGCCCAUCAAUCUUGCUACAUCUCCGGAGUUCUUCUAUUAUUCGAACGCCCCCACCGGACAAAGGGAGGCUUUCACAAAGGCUUGGUCUAAGGUCCGUAGGAAGAGUGUGAAGCAUUUGGGUGUGAGAUCUGGUAUUGCUCAUGAGGCCUAUACUCAGUGGGUAAUAAACCGAGCCGAAGAGAUUGGUAUGCCAUACCCUGCUAUGAGACAUGUGGCUGCACCUGCUCCAUCUAUACCUUUACCUCUACCUCCCAUAACUCAGGAGAUGUAUCAGGAGCAUCUGGCCAUGGGAAGUCGUGAGAAACAAAUGUGGAAGGCCCGAUAUAAUGAGGCUGAGAAUCUAAUCAUGACUUUGGAUGGUAAGGAUGAGCAGAAGACUCAUGAGAACCUGAUGUUGAAGAAGGAAUUGGUUAAGGUCCGAAGGGAACUUGAAGAAAAGGAUGAGCUACUUAUGCGGGACUCCAAGAGAGCCAGAGGACGACGCAACUUCUAUGCUAGAUAUUGCGGUUCGGAUUCGGAGUCUGAGUCUGAGGAUCAUCCCACCACUUCCUAUGCUUGAGAGUUUUAAAAAUCCUUCGAUGUCCAAAAACAACUUUUGCAUUUGCAUUUGUACAUAUCAUGCAUCAUGUGCAUCAUUCAUCAAGCCACAAAAGGUUUCCAAGUGCUCACUGCCUCCUGGGUCUUCUGCCACAGAUUGAAAGGUGGCUCGUGCUCGGAAAGUUUACGAAUCAGACAGAAUACACCGGAUAAGACUCUACAGAAAGAAGAAUUCGGCAGCCAUGGAAGAAGAGAAUGCUUAGCUCCGUACCGAGUUAGCCACUCUAAGGGAAGAAUUGGCUAAAGCUAAUGAUGUCAUGACUGCUCUGCUAGCCGCUCAAGAACAAUCAGCCACGGCUAUCCCUAUAGCCACAGCUAUACUGGUGACUACAAGCAUGCUCCCAACCGCAUCUGCAGACGCUCGCUUUGCUAUGCCAGCUGGGUUUCCGUAUGGGCUUCCACCGUUCUUCACUCCCAGUACUGCAGCGGGCACUUCGGGCACUGCUAACAAUGUUCUGAUCCCUACAACAAAUGUUGGCUCAUCAAUGCCACUUUGCCACAAACAACGGCAGCUGUCACUGAGCCUUCUUGUGCAUACCAUGCCCCAAGGUGUUAACAUCAACACACAGCAUGGAAGCAUCCCCGUAACCAAAACCAUGGAAGAGAUGAUGGAGGAACUUGCUAAAGAACUCCGUCAUGAGAUCAAAGCCAAUCGAGGAAAUGCGGACUCUUUCAAAACUCAAGAUCUCUGCUUGGUGUCAAAGGUGGAUGUCCCUAAGAAGUUCAAAAUCCCGGACUUCGACCGAUACAACGGCUAACUGUCCCAGAACCACAUCAUCAAGUACGUCCGAAAGAUGGGCAAUUACAAAGACAAUGAUUCCCUUAUGAUCCACUGCUUCCAGGAUAGUUUGAUGGAAGAUGUUGCAGAGUGGUAUACUAGUUUGAGCAAAAAUGACAUCCAUACCUUUGAUGAAUUAGCCGCUGCUUUCAAGAGCCACUAUGGGUUUAACACCCGAUUGAAGCCGAACAGGGAAUUCCUCAGAUCUCUCUCCCAGAAGAAGGAGGAAAGCUUCCGUGAAUACGCACAGAGAUGGAGGGGGGCAGCUGCCCGCAUUACUCCCGCUCUUGAUGAAGAAGAAAUGACCCAGACAUUCUUAAAGACCUUGAAGAAGGAUUAUGUUGAGAGAAUGAUCAUUGCUGCCCCGAAUAACUUUUCGGAGAUGGUCACCAUGGGAACUCGUCUGGAAGAAGCCGUCAGGGAUGGAAUCAUUGUGUUCGAGAAAGCUGAAUCCUCUGUGAAUGCAUCGAAGAGGUAUGGUAAUGGACACCACAAGAAGAAAGAAACGGAAGUAGGGAUGGUGUCAGCUGGAGCCGGUCAAUCCAUGGCUACUGUUGCUCCUAUCAAUGCAGCCCAAAUGCCUCCGUCAUACCCAUAUGUGCCGUAUUCUCAGCAUCCUUUCUUUCCGCCAUUUUAUCAUCAGUACCCUCUGCCACCGGGUCAACCUCAAGUACCCGUUAAUGCAAUCGCUCAACAGAUGAAACAACAGUUGCCAGUUCAACAACAUCAACAAAAUCAGCAAGCUAGACCUACUUUCCCUCCGAUACCGAUGUUAUAUGCUGAGUUGCUUCCGACUUUACUCCAUAGAGGACAUUGUACAACCAGACAGGGCAAGCCCCCACCUGAUCCGUUGCCUCCAAGGUUCAGGUCCGAUCUCAAAUGUGAUUUUCAUCAAGGCGCCCUGGGUCAUGAUGUCGAGGGGUGCUAUGCUUUGAAGUAUAUCGUAAAGAAGCUCAUUGAUCAAGGAAAGCUGACUUUUGAGAAUAAUGUCCCACAUGUCCUCGACAAUCCUCUUCCAAAUCAUGCCGCUGUAAAUAUGAUCGAAGUAUGUGAGGAAGCUCCUAGACUUGAUGUCCGUAACGUCGCAACUCCUCUGGUGUCUCUACACAUCAAGCUGUGCAAAGCUUCUCUGUUUAGCCAUGAUCAUGCCAAGUGCCUAGGAUGCCUUCGUAAUCCUUUGGGUUGCUAUACUGUUCAAGACGACAUCCAAAGCUUGAUGAAUGAUUAAUUUUUUGACUGUUAGUGAUGUCUGCGUAAUUGUGCCAGUUUUUCACGAUCCGCCUGUCAAGAGUAUGCCUUUGAAGGAGAAUGCUGAGCCUCUGGUGAUAAGGUUGCCCGGACCGGUACCGUAUACUUCAGAUAGGGCUAUCCCGUACAAGUAUAAUGCUACCAUAAUUGAAAACGGAGUAGAAGUGCCUCUGGUGUCCUUGGCUGUGAUGAACAAUACCGCCGAAGGAACUUCAGCAGCCCUUAGAAGCGGAAGAGUCCGUCCACCGUUGUUUCAAAAGAAGGCAGCUACGCCUACCGUGUCACCCAUUGACAAACCAACCCCGACUGAUGUUUCUCCCGUUAACAGAGACGCGAGCCAAUCAGGCCGGUCUAUAGAGGAUUCUAAUCUGGACGAGAUUUUGAGGUUGAUCAAAAGAAGUGAUUAUAAGAUUGUGGAUCAGCUGCUGCAAACUCCGUCGAAGACAUCCAUUUUGUCUCUACUUUUGAGUUCCGCUGCCCACAGAGAUACCCUUUUGAAAGUAUUGAAAGCAUCAUAAUCUGGCCUUGCAUAUCUCCGUAAAUUGCAAGUCUGACAUGAUCUCAAAUGUGUUAGUAGACACUGGCUCAUCUUUGAACGUGAUGCCCAAGUCAACGCUGGAUCAGCUGAGUUACCGGGGAACUCCUUUGAGGAGGAGCACUUUUCUUGUCAAAGCCUUUGAUGGAACCCGCAAGAGCGUUCUCGGGGAGAUAGACUUGCCAAUAACUAUCGGUCCCGAAACCUUUCUAAUCACCUGUUAAGUCAUGGAUAUUAAUGCCUCUUACAGCUGUCUCUUGGGGAGACCUUGGAUACAUGACGCGGGAGCGGUGACCUCUACUUUGCACCAAAAGUUGAAAUUUGCAAAAAGUGGAAAGCUUGUUACCAUUCAUGGAGAGGAGGCAUACCUGGUUAGCCAGCUAUCAUCUUUCUCUUGCAUAGAGGCAGGAUCUGCAGAGGGGACCGCUUUUCAAGGAUUAACUGCCGAAGGUACGGAGUCCAAGAGAGAUGGAACUGCCAAUGGCUUCUUUGAAGGAUGCACAGAGAGCCGUCCAGGAGGGUCAAGCUGCCGGCUGGGGCAGGUUAAUACAGCUUCGUGAGAACAAGCAUAAGGAAGGUCUUGGCUUCCUCCCCAACUUCAGGAGUUUCCACCGGGGCAUUCUAUAGUGCUGGGUUUGUCAACGCAAUCACAGAUGAAGCAACUGGAUUUGGCCCGAGGCCUGUAUUUGUUAUACCAGGAGGCAUUGCGAGAGAUUGGGAUGCCAUUGACAUUCCCUCAAUCAUGCAUGUUUCUGAGUAAUAUACCUUGUUGCUUAAGUAUCUUGUUUUUUCAAAAUAACAAUCCUCUCGCUCUGCCCAAAGCGAGAGUGAUAUUUUCUGUAAGGGCAUGUUUGUUUCGGCAUUGCCGUUGAUUAAUAAAAAAUUGUCGUUUCUUUCACGACUGCUUUUUUUUAGUGCCUUUUUUCCUUGGAAAUAAUGGUAAUGCCAGAAAAAACCAAAAUAUCUGUAUUUUCUUAUUAAUUUCAAAAAUCUGCAUAAAAAACCUCUUUCUAAAAUCAUCCAACCAUUUUACGCAGAUUGAACUAUAAUAAACCCGUUGGGCACAGUAACCCUGCAUUCCCUCCGAAUUUUGAGUUCCCAGUGUAUGAGGCCGAAGAUGAGGAAGGUGAUGACAUACCAUAUGAGAUCACUCGGUUACUUGAGCAAGAAAAGAAAGCCAUUCAGCCUCACCAGGAAGAGAUUGAGCUUAUCAACAUAGGUACCGAGGAGAACAAGCGAGAAAUCAAGAUCGGUGCUGCUCUAGAGGAAGGGGUUAAAAAAGAAAGAUCAUCCAACUCCUCCGGGAAUAUCCGGAUAUUUUUUGUCAUGGUCGUAUGAAGAUAUGCCAGGUCUAGAUCCUAUGAUUGUGGAACAUCGGAUCCCCACCAAGCCUGAAUGUCCUCCCGUCAGGCAGAAAUUGAGAAGGACUCAUCCAGAUAUGGCUCUCAAGAUUAAGAGCGAGGUUCAAAAACAGAUUGAUGCGGGUUUCCUCAUGACAGUUGAGUAUCGUGAAUGGGUUGCCAAUAUUGUACCUGUGCCAAAGAAGGAUGGUAAAGUCCGAAUGUGUGUUGACUUCAGAGACCUGAACAAAGCUAGUCCAAAAGACAACUUUCCAUUACCUCAUAUUGAUGUGCUUGUUGAUAAUACUGCUCAGUCUAAGGUGUUCUCCUUCAUGGAUGGUUUCUCCGGUUACAAUCAGAUCAAAAUGUCUCCUGAAGAUAGAGAAAAGACGUCUUUUAUCACUCCAUGGGGUACUUUCUGCUACAAAGUGAUGCCGUUCGGCCUAAUAAAUGCUGGUGCUACCUACCAAAGAGGGAUGACUACUCUGUUUCAUGACAUGAUUCACAAAGAAGUCGAAGUAUAUGUGGAUGAUAUGAUUGUGAAGUCAACAGAUGAGGAGCAACAUGUUGAAUAUUUGACAAAGAUGUUUGAAAGGUUGAGAAAAUACAAGCUUCGAUUGAAUCCCAACAAAUGUACAUUCGGCGUCAGAUCCGGGAAGUUAUUAGGCUUCAUUGUCAGCCAAAAGGGCAUUGAAGUCGAUCCUGAUAAAGUCCGCAACCUGCGGGCCGAUCUUCAAGCUACUCAGAAAGAAUCAGCCUAUUCUAUGGAAUGAUGAAUGUCAAGAAGCUUUUGAUAGCAUCAAGAAUUACCUGCUGGAACCACCUAUCCUUGUCCCACCCGUGGAAGGAAGGCCUUUGAUUAUGUAUUUGGCAGUAUUUGAUGAAUCCAUGGGAUGCGUACUUGGUCAACAGGAUGAGACUGGAAAGAAAGAACAUGCUAUCUACUAUCUAAGCAAGAAGUUCACCGAUUGUGAAACUCGGUACACAAUGCUUGAGAAGACUUGUUGUGCUCUUGUCUAUUUGCCUUUGCUUUCAGUCGAGUGACCAGUUCGAAUCAAGAACAAUUCGUGCCUGUCUACCUAUUCUAUGUCUCCGAUCGAGUGACCAGUUCGAAUCCAAGAACAACUCGCACCUGUUUGUCUGCUUUUAUUCCAGGUCAAGUGCCCAGCUCAAUCCAAGAGCAGCUUGUACCCGUCAAUUUGUUCCUAGUCUCCUAUCUACCCUGUUAUCUGUUAUCUUGUCAAUGUCUACCAAUCCCGCAAUGGAUACGACAUCUUUUGUUAAUUCCAGCUUUCGUUUGUCUCGCACUCAUAAUCCAAAUGUUGCAUGGCAUUCAUGAUAUUUGAAAAUGUACAAGCGUAUUUUUACGUCCAAACACAGUGCAAAUGUUAAUAUUUAAGUAUCUUCGUCCCGUCGAGCCAAAGACUCCGUCUCUUGACCCUCCAGACAAAGAAACUUAAAUAGGGGCAGCUGUUAUACCCUGAUUUUGGACCUAAAAAUACUCGUUCAAAUUUCUUUUCUAACACUGAUACUUGUCAAAUUCUCUGUUAUUUUUUUCUCUGAAUCUUUACUCUUUUUUUAAACAUAUUUUACUGCCUCUGUCUGUCUUUUCUUGCAUUACAAGUCAUUUAAGAACUCUCUGAAACGUCGCAUUACUUUUCUUGCAUUUUAUUUCAAAAAAUCAUACAAAAGGGGUAUUUUGGUCAUUUCCUGCAGUGGAACCCAUUUUAGUCCCUGUGUUUGCCUCUGAGUCUUUUCAACUUGUCUGUACGAAUUAUUGUUGAGUCUUUGUUUAAAAAAUCAUUUCAAAAAUUGCAUCUGAGUCAGUUAGUCCCUAGGGGCAUUUUGGUCUUUUCCUGUUAAAAUUCCGACAGGGAGGUAUUUUAAAAUACCUCAUGUCGGUAAUUUGUUCGUUUUAGUCCGUUUGUUGAUUUUAUUUUUCGUUUCACUUUACCUUUUUACCAAUUACCAAUUUUAAUUCAUUUUAUUUUUAUUUACAUUUCGGUCCCCCAAAAGGGUCCCAAAAUUGCAUUUUUGUCCAAUACUUUUUUAAUUACAUUUUUUUAGUUUUUUUUUAUUAUUGCAGAUUAGUCCUCAUAUUAACUUUUUGUCAGAUUAGUCCUUAAGUCCAAAACAGUCCAGGUGUCAAUUUUCCAUUGGGUCACCAAUACACAUGGCAGGCUAUAAAUAGUAAAUGUGUCAGAUCCAUCACAAUCAGUCAAAAAAAAUCAGAAUCAAUCACAAUCAGUCUCAAACAGAAUCUUUUUCUCUCUCUCAUCCAUAACAGAAUCAAAACAGAAAAAACUCAGAAAAAAGAGGAAGAACACCAAGAACACCUCAUCACCAAAAUCAACAGAUCUAAACCGGAUCUGCUCAGAAUCAGCUCCAACCACCACAAAAUCAACAAAUCCGAACCGGAUUCACUCAAAACCACCGCGAAUCAUCACAUCAACACUAAAACAUACCGGUAUUUUCGAGCAAAAACAACACCAACGGAGGAUAUAGCGCGCGCGCGAAAGAGAAGAGGAGAGAUUCGAAGUUUUCCGAAUAUCUUUUUUCUCCGUUCUACGACAGAGGUAACGCGUUUCUCCUUUCUUUCUAAGCCAUUUCCGCGCAUUUCUUGCUUGAAAAAGUGUGAAAAAGUUUGUUACGG
rnacentral:lncRNA from 1 species